rnacentral:rRNA from 1 species
UAGAGUUUGAUCAUGGCUCAGAUUGAACGCUGGUGGCAGGCCUAACACAUGCAAGUCGAGCGGCAGCGGAAAGUAGCUUGCUACUUUGCCGGCGAGCGGCGGACGGGUGAGUAAUGUCUGGGAAACUGCCUGAUGGAGGGGGAUAACUACUGGAAACGGUAGCUAAUACCGCAUGAUGUCGCAAGACCAAAGUGGGGGACCUUCGGGCCUCACGCCAUCGGAUGUGCCCAGAUGGGAUUAGCUAGUAGGUGAGGUAAUGGCUCACCUAGGCGACGAUCCCUAGCUGGUCUGAGAGGAUGACCAGCCACACUGGAACUGAGACACGGUCCAGACUCCUACGGGAGGCAGCAGUGGGGAAUAUUGCACAAUGGGCGCAAGCCUGAUGCAGCCAUGCCGCGUGUGUGAAGAAGGCCUUAGGGUUGUAAAGCACUUUCAGCGAGGAGGAAGGCGUUGUAGUUAAUAGCUGCAACGAUUGACGUUACUCGCAGAAGAAGCACCGGCUAACUCCGUGCCAGCAGCCGCGGUAAUACGGAGGGUGCAAGCGUUAAUCGGAAUUACUGGGCGUAAAGCGCACGCAGGCGGUUUGUUAAGUCAGAUGUGAAAUCCCCGAGCUUAACUUGGGAACUGCAUUUGAAACUGGCAAGCUAGAGUCUUGUAGAGGGGGGUAGAAUUCCAGGUGUAGCGGUGAAAUGCGUAGAGAUCUGGAGGAAUACCGGUGGCGAAGGCGGCCCCCUGGACAAAGACUACGCUCAG